AUUGAACGCUGGCGGCAUGCUUUACACAUGCAAGUCGAGGGGCAGCACGUCUUCGGAUGGUGGCGACCGGCGCACGGGUGCGUAACGCGUAUGCAACCUACCUCUUACAGUGGGAUAGCCCAGAGAAAUUUGGAUUAAUACCGCAUAGUAUACAGAUUCAGCAUUGGGACUGUAUUAAACAUUUAUGGGUAAGAGAUGGGCAUGCGUUCUAUUAGUUAGUUGGAGUGGUAACGGCACCCCAAGACAGCGAUAGAUAGGGGCCCUGAGAGGGGGAUCCCCCACACUGGUACUGAGACACGGACCAGACUCCUACGGGAGGCAGCAGUGAGGAAUAUUGGACAAUGGGCGAGAGCCUGAUCCAGCCAUGCCGCGUGCAGGAAGACGGCCCUAGGGUUGUAAAGCUCUUUCAGCUGGGAAGAUAAUGACGGUACCAGCAGAAGAAGCCCCGGCUAACUCCGUGCCAGCAGCCGCGG
rnacentral:rRNA from 1 species